GUUCUGGGGCUGUUUGAUUCUCCUUUUUUUUUGUUGUUGUUUUUUUUUUUCCUCCCCUUUUACCCAAUAAAAAGCUUUUUUUUUUUUCCUUUUCUUUUUUUCUAAGUGCAAAGUCAUGAGAAAAAGCACAGAACAGAUGCUGGCACGGGGAUGCUCUGAGCGGAUCGUGAGUCCCGGGGCUGUGAUUUGUGCCCGCCAGCCCUAACCAGAACUGGGCUGUGGGGCGAGCAGGAGGCAGCCACGGCUUUUGGAGGGACAGAUGUGGUGGUUUAGCAGAGAAACGCAUGGGAAAUACCCCAAACCCACACCUCGCUGUGUGCGUCUAGCACAGCCUGUGUCCAGGCAGAGCUGUGAGAGGCAAUCCGCACCAGCACGGCGAGCUGAGCGCAGCUCCUUCUGUGUGCACACCAAACAUCAGAACACGGAAAACAUCCGUGGGGAAGGAACGCCCUCGAAGUUCCCUUUGGAGAAGAAAGAAUUCACAAAAGCCAGCUUUCCACCCCGGCCCGCGGAGCGCCGAGUUCCUGCCCCGAAAUAUCUCGGCGAGGAGCGCUGCCAGCGGCUCCGUCCUCCUCCAGGACUCAUUUUCCUCUGUUUAUCUUGAAAAUAUUUCUGUGCUGAGGUCCCACCCAGCGGCACACAGCCCUGCACGGCCGCCUCCAGCCGACACACAGCCCUUGUUUAUGUGGAGCGGAGCCGACGGAGCGCAGGGCCGAUGCUGGAGGAGAGCCCCCCCAGCACAGAGCGUCCCGCCCCGCAGCUCCCCGCUCACCCACUGACACACAGAUGCCUCCAGUUGCUGGUUUGGGAGUUUCUCGUGGUUUAUGUGAUAAUAAUGGCAAAGAAUGCUGCGGUUGAAUCUCCUAGAGCUCUGCUGAGAGUUGGGCACAUCCUGGGGUGCAGUGAUGCUCCGUCUCUGGUCCACGGGUGUCUGCAACAACCGCCCUGCAGCGGGCACAGAGUUUUGCAAGAGGCCGUUGCAAAGGUUUCAGUGUGAAUGUGCUGGGCUUCGUGGCAGAGGGCUGGGAUGGGGACCUGGCUGUCCCCUCACCACCCCGCUGCAGGAUCUGACCCCGAUUUGGGGCGCCCACCCUGAGCAUCCCCUCCCCAAACCGCUCCCCCUUCCCGCAGCAUCACGCCGUGCAAACACCCUCAAUCACAGCAACGCUCAAAGCCCGGCCAGCAGGAUUGAGUUACCUGCCCUGGAAGAAUAAAGGAGGCAUUCAGCCAGAGCUUACGCCUUUCCCCCUGCCAAGGCCCGACACCACGGUGACGGUCACACGCAGAGGCACAGAAACACGAGCCCCGGUGACCCCGAUCUGCAUCCCCCCUCCUCCCACCCCACGGCACCGGGCAGAGCGCACGCUUUGCUUUGCUUGCCCGUCACGAGCUGCCUUAUCUUUUAAUAGAACCUUUAAGAGCAGAAGUCAGGCUACCCGGGCACAAAGGCGGCUAAAUCUCCUCCCGGGACAUUAAUCAUUUUUCUUUGACAUGUUUUGCUAAUUAGACGAAGCGUUUCCCUCGAUGGGGGGGGGGGGCUGGGAAAAAGAAAGAAAGAAGGGGGAGAGGUGGAAGAGAGGAAGGAGCAGGGCAGAAGGACCGAGGUGUAACGCUGCUCCAUUCUUCAAGCACCAGCUUGCAGGGAGCAGACCCAGCCCACGUGGCUCCAACAUCAUCAGGACGUGGCGAUCACCGUCCCUGGAGGUGCCCCAGGCCGUGGUGGGCAUUGGGCAGCCUGAGCUGAGGGGGGCAGCCGGCCCAUGGCCACCCAUCUGUGCCUAUGGGUGCGUGAGCUGAGAUGCCCCACGGGGGGAAAACACAGAGGGUGAAGGUUUCUCCCCCCUGUGCAGCCACUGCUCGUGGAUGCAUGGAGCGUCCCCUGCGAUUUCUUAAAAUGCACCGUUUGUCUGGGAUUCCUGGCAAUGCCUGCUGCUGCACCCACAGACAUGGCCUGGCACCCCCACAGCCCACGGCUGAGGGCUCAUUUGGGGCUGUAGAAGGCAGCAGGAAGCCUCUGCCAUGGUGGCUUGUCAAUAGGUCCUCUAACUGCAGGGACAGGGACAAGCUUGUCCCGGGCAGGACUGGCUCCUUUUUGCAAGAGUCCAACUCAGCUCCCCCAGGACCCGAUGGUUUUUUUUGUGGGGAACAGAAUAACCCACAGCGAAAUCGCUAUGAGGACGCACUGAAACAAAAUCCCGACAAGAAACCGCUGCCUGCUCGUGCCCCCCGGCACUGCAGAGCAUUCGCUCCCAUCGCUUACCAGCAGCUCCAACCCAAACCCUCCAUGUGCAAACCUUUGGGGCAGCGCUAUGGGGCAGCGCUGCAGAAAUCAAUCACAGCGCCGCACUCCCUGGGCGCUCUCCUCAUUGCUGCGGGAUGACACACUCUGCCCCUCCCCCCCCCCCCCCCACCCCCCUCCCGCCGCCCCCACCACCAAAACAAAGCGCUGUUUCUAAUUUGGGGUGUUUGGAAAUCAUUUUCCAUCCCGGCUUCCAAACGAAACCAAAAAAGACAUUUGCUUUCCAGAGCACCGCGGAGGGGUCAGAGCUCUGCGGGAGAGCGAAAAGCCGCGGGAAAAAACGAGUGCUGCACCCCCACACCCAUUUCCAAGAAAAAUAAAAUAAAUUACAAGAAGACAAUGCUGUUAAAUAUAGAGCAUAAAGCACAGCUCGGCACCAUUCAUCAUUCGGGGGGUGUUGUCGCCAACAUCUCCCCGGCGGAUCCUGUUGGCUGUUGCAUCCCCAGGGGACGCGUUGCGGGCGUGCUGAUGCUGGCCCGGGGAGCAGCAGAGGGGCGGUGGGAACCCCGCGGGUGCCUCCGCCGCUGUGUGAGAGCUGCUGGAAAAUCAUAGUCCUCUCCCGAGUUAAAUUCAGCCCUGGGAGCGCCGUCGGGCCGCGUCCCGGCGCGGUUUGUACAGCCAGAGUGGGGUGGAAAAAAGGAAAAGCCUUCAAGGUGAGGAAAGCGCUGUGGGAAGGUCGGCAUCCCAGGUGCUUUCGUGGGGAGAGUGAGGAGGAGCAUCCGGCACGCCGCAAAACAAGUGUUUUUCCAUAAGUUGCUGGUGGAAAGAGCAGAUCAGAGCAGGUAGCUGCGUCCUGCACGGGGGUCCCCAGCUCUGGGGUCUCUGAUAGGAGCCUCAUGGGUGGGGGAGGGUGCUUGGAGCAUCACCCCACUGCGAGGCUCCAUUCUGCCCAGGGUGAGGCAGGGAAACCAAACUGGGUUCGUGUCUGCAAGGCUUCAAUGGAGAACCCCAAGACAUGAAAGGUCUCCAGGCCAUGGGGCGGCAUCCUGGUGGUGGUUGGACAUGGAGCUGUGUUGGACACGGAGCAGUGGUGGAGAUGGAGCAGUGGUGGAGAUGGAGCACUGUUGGCCAUGGAGCAGUGUUCAGUCCACAGCAUCAGGGCAGGAUUUCCCACCCUUCCCAGCUCAAUUCCUGUGAGCAUUUCUCAUGGACACCCAACGUGUGCCAUCACUGGACUCACAACUUCUCCUCAUCUCCUCCCCACCUCCAUCUGCCCCCGAAGUGCUGCACAGAGCACUGGGAGGGCCCCGAGGAGGAAAAAAAAAAUAGAAAAUAAUCAGAACUGUUUAAAAAAAAAAAAAAAAAGCCACUGGAAACAAACAAACAGCUCUGAUUUAUCGCUCACGAGAAGAAAUGGUGCAUGUUGGAAGCAAGCACAGGAAGUCCUGGGGACAAUAAAUCCCGCACGGGAGCAGAGAACCAACACAGUUCCACGUUCGGGAACGCAGCGAGGAUAUGGAGACAGCGGGAGGGUGAAGGGGGGGAAUUUGGGGUGGGACCCCAAAGCAGAGGGGUGCGGAGCUGGGAGCGCUCUCCCCAUCACCUCGAGUUUUGGGAUGGAGCCCAGGUGCCGGCAAAGGGAUCCGCCGGGACCCCCCGCUCUGAUGUGGCCGUGUGAGGACGGGGAGCAGCGGGGCUCCGUCCCGACCUCAUCACCCGCGGAACACCAGCAAUCCUGGCUGUGCUGUGGGUACAGAAACAGCACGUCCCCACUGCUGGCCGGGGCUCCUGGCAGCCCCAGGGAGGAUUUGGCUGCGCAGGAAUUUGGAAGCUGCCUGAAAUCCCGAAGAAAUGAGGGAAGGCUGAGGAGUGUCGCUGUGAUGGAGGCUCAGCCCCGCCACGGCAGCUUGCAGCACCCCACGCAUGGCGCCGGCAGCAAACUGGGAGCUGUGGCUGUGGGAUAUCAUCCCCUCUUCUAUGGGGACACCGCAGGGGCUCCCCAGGACCCCCUGACCCCAUUCCCCCCCCCCCCCCCCCCAUGGCUGGGGGUCACAUUUGUUGCAUCCUUUGGGAUGAGGCAGAAAACACCACAGCACUCAGUGCCCCAUCUCCGUUUCAUUGUCCUCCCCGCACCCAAACGUGGUUUGUUUUUAGCCCGGGAAGGCGGUGGGGUGGGGGGGAGGGAUGAGGCUGAUUAUUAAAUGCCAUCGGCUCCAAUUAAUCCCCCAAAUUGACUCAGAGGUACCACGGCGCCCAUUCCGGUGAAUGUUUUGCCAUCUUUCAGUGCUGCUCUGCAGAUCC
ensembl:lncRNA